GACGAACGCUGGCGGCGUGCUUAACACAUGCAAGUCGAACGGAAAGGCCCCCAUUUUGGUGGGGGUGCUAGUGUGGCGAACGGGUGUGUAACACGUGGGUGAUCUGCUCUGUACUUGGGGAUAAGCUUGGGAAACUGGGUCUUAUCGCGGAUGAGACCAUGGUUUAGGGUCUGGUGGAGGAAAGUUUAGUUGUUUGGUGAAGGAUCGGCCUGCGGGCUUUUAGCUUGUUGGUGGGGUAAUGGCCUACUAAGGCGUGGACGGGUAGCCGGCCGGGGAGGGCGGGCGGCGAGAGUGGGACUGGGAUACGUCGCAGACUCCUACGGGAGGGAGCAGUGGGGGAGAUAGCAGAAGGGGAGCAUGCCUGAUGGAGCGACGCCGCGUGGGGGAUGACGGCCUUCGGGUUGAAGACUCCUUGCGUGAGGGACGAAGCCGCACGUGUGUAGGGUGUGGGGACGGUACCUUGGUUAAGAAGCACCGGCUAACUACGUG
rnacentral:rRNA from 1 species